rnacentral:misc_RNA from 1 species
GAUGAAGAACGUAGCGAAAUGCGAUAAGUAAUGCGAAUUGCAGAAUUCCAGUGAGUCAUCGAAUCUUUGAACGCACAUUGCGCCCUUUGGUAUUCCGAAGGGCAUGCCUGUUCGAGCGUCAUUAUCACCCCUCAAGCCCUCGGCUUGGUGUUGGACGGUUUGGUGGAGGCCCCCUCGGGGGCUCCUGCCCCUCCCAAAGACAAUGACGGCGGCCUCGUUGGACCCCCGGUACACUGAGUUCUUCACGGGACACGUAUCGGACACAUGGGUUUACGGGACACGGUCUGCCUCCCCUCAGGGAGAAUCUUUCUAAGGUUGACCUCGGAUCAGGUAGGGAUACCCGCUGAACUUAAGCAUAUCAAUAAGCGAGGA